rnacentral:sRNA from 1 species
UCGUAACUCUUUAUUCCGAAUCGUGCUG